rnacentral:rRNA from 1 species
CUUGGUCAUUUAGAGGAAGUAAAAGUCGUAACAAGGUCUCCGUUGGUGAACCAGCGGAGGGAUCAUUAAAGAGUUUUUCAACUCCCAAACCCAUGUGAACAUACCUUACGUUGCCUCGGCAGGUCGCGCCUACCCCGUAGCGCCCUACCCCGUAGGACCUACCCGGUAGACGCGGGUAAGCCUGCCGGCGGCCCACGAAACUCUGUUUACCACUGUAUCUCUGAACACAUAACUAAAUACGUUAAAACUUUCAACAACGGAUCUCUUGGUUCUGGCAUCGAUGAAGAACGCAGCGAAAUGCGAUAAGUAAUGUGAAUUGCAGAAUUCAGUGAAUCAUCGAAUCUUUGAACGCACAUUGCGCCCAUUAGUAUUCUAGUGGGCAUGCCUGUUCGAGCGUCAUUUCAACCCUUAAGCCCUGUUGCUUAGCGUUGGGAGCCUACCGUGGUAGCUCCUCAAAGUGAGUGGCGGAGUCGGUUCACACUCUAGACGUAGUAGAUUUUAUCUCGCCUGUGAGUUGGACCGGUCCCCUGCCGUAAAACCCCCUAUUUUCUAAAGGUUGACCUCGGAUCAGGUAGGAAUACCCGCUGAACUUAAGCAUAUCAAUAAGCGGAGGA